AGAUGCAAGAGGAUCUAAUAAGGUUGGCCUAGCUAGAAAGUAAACAUCUAAUCUAUUCUGAAUACCCAAUUGAGUGGCUGUCAGAAAAAAAGGGGGCAAAUGGAGUUGGCACAACACACCAAGCUUCAUCUCCACAAAGCCACUUCAUUUGUGACCUAAGAUGAAAUGGAGCAGCUGUCUCUAAGGAUGGGAUAUCAUUUGCAGGUGGCGCAAGAUAGGAACCCAC